GACGAACGCUGGCGGCGUGCUUAACACAUGCCAGUCGAACGGAAAGGCCCUGCUUUUGUGGGGUGCUCGAGUGGCGAACGGGUGAGUAGCACGUGAGUAACCUGCCCUUGACUUUGGGAUAACUUCAGGAAACUGGGGCUAAUACCGGAUAGGGGCUCCUGCUGCAUGGUGGGGGUUGGAAAGUUUCGGCGGUUGGGGAUGGACUCGCGGCUUAUCAGCUUGUUGGUGGGGUAGUGGCUUACCAAGGCUUUGACGGGUAGCCGGCCUGAGAGGGUGACCGGCCACAUUGGGACUGAGAUACGGCCCAGACUCCUACGGGAGGCAGCAGUGGGGAAUAUUGCACAAUGGGCGGAAGCCUGAUGCAGCAACGCCGCGUGCGGGAUGACGGCCUUCGGGUUGUAAACCGCUUUCGCCUGUGACGAAGCGUGAGUGACGGUAAUGGGUAAAGAAGCACCGGCUAACUACGUG
rnacentral:rRNA from 1 species